rnacentral:rRNA from 1 species
UAAUACGGAGGGGGCAAGCGUUAUUCGGAUUUACUGGGCGUAAAGCGCACGUAGGUGGCACUGUAAGUCAAAGGUGAAAGCCCUCGGCUCAACCGAGGAACUGCCUUUGAAACUGCUUUGCUUGAGUCCGGGAGGGGGGAGCGGAAUUCCCAGUGUAGCGGUGAAAUGCGUAGAUACUGGGAGGAACACCGGUGGCGAAGGCGGCUCCCUGGACCGGUACUGACACUGAGGUGCGAAAGCGUGGGUAGCGAACAGGAUUAGAUACCCUGGUAGUCCACGCCGUAAACGAUGAUAACUCGUUGUUGGCAAUACAUCGUCAGCGACUGAGCGAAAGCAUUAAGUUAUCCACCUGGGGAGUACGGUCGCAAGAUUG